rnacentral:rRNA from 1 species
GACGAACGCUGGCGGCGUGCUUAACACAUGCAAGUCGAACGGUGAAGGGACUGGUUUUGCUGGUCCUGGAUGAGUGGCGAACGGGUGAGUAACACGUGAGUAACCUGCCCCCUUCUUCUGGAUAACCGCAUGAAAGUGUGGCUAAUACGGGAUAUUCUGGGUCUGUCGCAUGGUGGGCCUGGGAAAGAUUGCGCCUUUUUUGGUGUUUUUGGUGGGGGAUGGGCUCGCGGCCUAUCAGCUUGUUGGUGGGGUGAUGGCCUACCAAGGCGGUGACGGGUAGCCGGCCUGAGAGGGUGGACGGUCACACUGGGACUGAGACACGGCCCAGACUCCUACGGGAGGCAGCAGUGGGGAAUAUUGCACAAUGGGCGCAAGCCUGAUGCAGCGACGCCGCGUGAGGGAUGGAGGCCUUCGGGUUGUGAACCUCUUUCGCCAGUGAAGCAGGCCUGCCUCUUUUUGUGGGUGGGUUGACGGUAGCUGGAUAAGAAGCGCCGGCUAACUACGUU